CAUAUACGACCGUACCGCAAACCGACACUGGUGCGCGAGAUGAGUAUUCUAAGGCGCUUGAGAGAACUCAGGAGAAGGAACUCGGCAAAUUGACACCGUAACUUCGGAAGAAGGUGUGCCCUAUUAGUGUGUAGUGAACAACGAAGCAUGAAUGGGUUGCAAAAAAUCGGUGGCUGCGACUGUUUAUUAAAAACACAGCACUCUGCAAACACGAAAGUGGACGUAUAGGGUGUGACGCCUGCCCGGUGCUGGAAGAUUAAAUGAUGGGGUGCAAGCUCUUGAUUGAAGUCCCAGUAAACGGCGGCCGUAACAAUAACGGUCCUAAGGUAGCGAAAUUCCUUGUCGGGUAAGUUCCGACCUGCACGAAUGGCGUAACGAUGGCCACACUGUCUCCUCCUGAGACUCAGCGAAGUUGAAAUGUUUGUGAUGAUGCAAUCUCCCCGCCGAAAGACGGAAAGACCCCAUGAACCUUUACUGUAGCUUUGUAUUGGACUUUGAACAGAUCUGUGUAGGAUAGGUGGGAGGCUUUGAAGCAGGGUCGCUAGAUCUUGUGGAGCCAACGUUGAAAUACCACCCUGGUGUGUUUGAGGUUCUAACCUAGGUCCAUUAUCUGGAUCGGGGACAGUGCAUGGUAGGCAGUUUGACUGGGGCGGUCUCCUCCCAAAGCGUAACGGAGGAGUUCGAAGGUACGCUAGUUACGGUCGGACAUCGUGACGAUAGUGCAAUGGCAUAAGCGUGCUUAACUGCGAGACUGACAAGUCGAGCAGAUGCGAAAGCAGGACAUAGUGAUCCGGUGGUUCUGUAUGGAAGGGCCAUCGCUCAACGGAUAAAAGGUACUCUGGGGAUAACAGGCUGAUACCGCCCAAGAGUUCAUAUCGACGGCGGUGUUUGGCACCUCGAUGUCGGCUCAUCUCAUCCUGGGGCUGUAGCCGGUCCCAAGGGUAUGGCUGUUCGCCAUUUAAAGAGGUACGUGAGCUGGGUUUAAAACGUCGUGAGACAGUUUGGUCCCUAUCUUCCGUGGGCGCUGCAGAUUUGAGGAAGCCUGCUCCUAGUACGAGAGGACCGGAGUGGACACACCUCUGGUGUAUCGGUUGUCACGCCAGUGGCAUUGCCGAGUAGCUAAGUGUGGAAGAGAUAACCGCUGAAAGCAUCUAAGCGGGAAACUCGUUUCAAGAUGAGAUCUGCCGGGGCCUUGAGCCCCCUAAAGAGUCGUUCAAGACCAGGACGUUGAUAGGUCAGGUGUGGAAGC
rnacentral:rRNA from 1 species